rnacentral:rRNA from 1 species
AUUGAACGCUGGCGGCAGGCUUAACACAUGCAAGUCGAGCGGAGAGAGGUAGCUUGCUACUGAUCUUAGCGGCGGACGGGUGAGUAAUGCUUAGGAAUCUGCCUAUUAGUGGGGGACAACAUUUCGAAAGGAAUGCUAAUACCGCAUACGUCCUACGGGAGAAAGCAGGGGAUCUUCGGACCUUGCGCUAAUAGACGAGCCUAAGUCGGAUUAGCUAGUUGGUGGGGUAAAGGCCUACCAAGGCGACCAUCUGUAGCGGGUCUGUGAGGAUGAUCCGCCACACUGGGACUGAGACACGGCCCAGACUCCUACGGGAGGCAGCAGUGGGGAAUAUUGGACAAUGGGCGCAAGCCUGAUCCAGCCAUGCCGCGUGUGUGAAGAAGGCCUUAUGGUUGUAAAGCACUUUAAGCGAGGAGGAGGCUACUUUAGUUAAUACCUAGAGAUAGUGGACGUUACUCGCAGAAUAAGCACCGGCUAACUCUGUGCCAGCAGCCGCGGUAACAC